GAGUGUGAUCAGAAUUUUACUGCCAGAGUUUUUACAACCAGAACAAUUUGGAAACUAUUGCUCUGGAGUAGAUGUGGCCAAAGCCACCCUGCCCCCAGAUUUUGAAGAGCACUGGGCUAACAAUGGGUUUUCAUGGAUGCAAUGUCUUCAAUUUUGCUUCUUAGCCCACGAAUUUAAAUAUUUACCAUCUGCCCUUUACAAAAACAAAACCGUGGAGAACUGCACUAGCGAUUGAUCUAUUUCUAUGCUAUGCUUCUAUCUGACCCGCUAGGACUUCAGAUUGAUGACUAAUCCUUCCUCUGCCUGAUUCAUGUCCUCUGAGCUGUCUCUUGGGUUUCCCACUUCCUCCAGGAGGGACUCCAUGGGUCUGAUUCACCAGUGAAGAGCCAGUGUCCAUCUUCCCACCUAAGGCCUCUACUGGGUGGUAAAAUUAUCCAUUACAACCCACAAGGAAUAGGACCAAGAAAUAUGGAUUUGUGACAAACUCACCAGGUGACACUGAUGGACGAUAGCAUUUCAGAAUCACUGGUCUACAGGUGAUGUGACUGUUUCUGGUCCUGGAACCGCACGUUGAUGACCAAUAGACUAUUCUACAGUCAUCAACAAAGAAAAUGUUCCAUCAAGAAGAAGAGGUGGGCUCCCAUGGAAUGGACAGAUGAAAUGAACUCCCAGAGUCCAUACUAACGGACAGCAGCAACAUAGGUUAAAAAAAACAGGUGUCCAAUUAUCACUAUCACAUCAUUAUUACUGUCAUUAGAGAUAAAACAUAACCAACGCUAUUUAUUUUCUUCCACUCUCUUCCAAACCUACUUAUUGGCCUCAAUUACCCCAGAAGAAAAGGAACAUAACUAAAUGAAAUGAGGUGUCAACACUGCACCAUGACCUGCCUGGGCUGUAAGAUGAUCCUGCCAACCUCUUCUCCAAUGGCCUUCCAGAAGCCACAGACCACUUCAAAGCCACAAGUCUAGUGGCCUUUCCCUGCAGUGCACAUUCUCCUUGUUUAUUUUGUAGUAUUUAUAGUUUCACAGGACAUAGACUUUUCUUAAGCUAUCAAUCAUAAUUUUAUUAGAAUUAUAAUAAAAUAUUAAUAAGUAUACAAAUUUCAUUUUUACUUUAUUCAUAUAUCAUCCAUAAGAAUCUUUAUAUGCAUAUUGAUGACUAUUUUAUAAAAGUUACAGAGACAUCUGGCACCUUGGAGGCUGUCAAUUAUGUCACUACUAGCCUCACCCUACUGAUGAAUUUAUAUUUCUCAUCUUCACACAGAAAGAUGUCAUUCAACCAGCAUUUCUACAGGGUGUAAAACAUACCACAUUGUGAAAUAAAAUCACCAUUUAUUUUAUUUUUUUAAUUCUUAUCUAUUUAUUUACUUUGUGGUGUCAAGGAGCAAACCCAGGGCUUUGCACAGGCCAAGCACACAGCUUACACAGCGCCCCCCUAGAUUGCCAUUAAAAAAGUUAUAUUUCUUACUAUUGUAUGAGAUUCUAUAAAGAUCUGAAGAAAAUUUAUGGACUUUCAAGUUUCAACAAUGUGUCCUGAGGCUUCUUCUCCUUCUAUGUGUUUUUUAAAUGUCAAUGUGACCAUUUAUUGAGAAAACAUGUGUUGAACUCUUCUCUAUGCUGUGUCUUAUGAUAGAUGUUAGGAAAAUAAAAAUG